GAUGAACGCUGGCGGCGUGCCUAAUACAUGCAAGUCGAGCGAACAGACGAGGAGCUUGCUCCUCUGACGUUAGCGGCGGACGGGUGAGUAACACGUGGAUAACCUACCUAUAAGACUGGGAUAACUUUGGGAAACCGGAGCUAAUACCGGAUAAUAUAUUGAACCGCAUGGUUCAAUAGUGAAAGACGGUUUUGCUGUCACUUAUAGAUGGAUCCGCGCCGCAUUAGCUAGUUGGUAAGGUAACGGCUUACCAAGGCGACGAUGCGUAGCCGACCUGAGAGGGGAACGGGCCACAUUGAAAGUAAGCACGGGUCCAGACCCCUAGGGAGGGCAGAGGUAGGGAAUUUGCCGAAGGGGGGGAAGGCCGAACGGGGCAACGCCGGGGGAGUAAGGAAGGUUUUCGAUCUGUAAACCUUUUUUAUUAGGGAAAAAAAAAUGGGAAAGUAACUAGGCACGUUUUGACGGAACCAAAUAAAAAAGCCCCGGCAACCUACG
rnacentral:rRNA from 1 species